UGUAGUAACACCCAACCAGGAUGGUACCUCCAAAACGUCCAGAGGCAAGGCCCUGACAUCAAGACCCACUGAGAAUGCAGAGGUGUCCUCAGACAGCGGUGGCGAAGAACUGCCAUCAAUCCAGGUGAUUAAAUCCUCUCUGAUUGUUGUCGACCCUAAUGGUCAUAGUCCACCUGGCCCAGCUGCUACUCCUACACAGGCCCAAGGUGGGAACACCCUGAGGAAAGACAGGGUCUCUGAUAGCACCAUCCCACACUUCUCCUCUGAGAGCCAGGAUGGGGACCUGAUUCCUCCCACGCAGUCCUCCACUUCUGUAGGUCAAACCCCCUUGAUGAAGAAUAUUUUGAAGGAGUCAUCAGCAGAGUCCAGUGAGGAUGAAUUGGUGGCCCCUUCCCAGAGGAAGACCCUCGCCAAUUACCAGGCUUCCAAAGUGAUUGCAAAGCCAGAUUGCAUCCCCUUGUUUUCCUCUACUCUGGUGAACAAAAAUGACACAGACAGCAGACUGGAGUCUCAGCAAGCAGGCACCAUUACCUUUAAAACAGGUAUAAAGGAAGCCACCUCAGGCGCCACAUCUGUGAAGCCCACAAAGGGAGCCCAUAGCUCCAUAGACUCAACACAGGCACUGCAGGGCAGCACCACCCAGUACUUCCUGGGGGUGACCGGCCCCUGAGUAAGGCCCAGAUGUGGGAUGCUUUGAGGAAGGUUGUGACAGAGGUACUGGAGCAGGAAAGGAAGAAGCCUGCAGAUGCUGCCAAGAACAUCAGCAGGAAAAGCCGGAAGUGGAAGCUGUCGGGAGACCAGUUAGCUACCACAGCCCCCAAGAGCAAGAAGCAGCAGCUGGUGGCUGGAGAAGGUGGGGAGAGCACUAUUUCUUCAGAAAAGGCCUCCAGACCUUCCAAAGGGAAAUCAAUGAGAGACAAAGCAAAGAAAAAGGGGAAGGGAUAUUUCACCUCCUAAGGGGCCAAGGAAAAUCCAGAAGGGGAGCAGCGAUGGUGAAGUUUGAGGGUAGAGAUCAAAAUGACUCAAAAAGCCAAAAAGAGAAGAAGAAAUCUGAUAAAGGUAAGG
rnacentral:lncRNA from 1 species